rnacentral:rRNA from 1 species
UGGGGAAUAUUGGACAAUGGGCGCAAGCCUGAUCCAGCAACGCCGCGUGGAGGACGAAGGUCUUCGGAUCGUAAACUCCUGUCAGGUGGGGCGAGGGCUGCGGGAUGAAUAAUCCUGUAGCUUGACGGUACCACCAGAGGAAGCCCCGGCUAACUCCGUGCCAGCAGCCGCGGUAAUACGGAGGGGGCUAGCGUUGUUCGGAAUUACUGGGCGUAAAGCGCGCGUAGGCGGCUUUGUAAGUUAGAGGUGAAAGCCCGGAGCUCAACUCCGGAACUGCCUUUAAGACUGCAUCGCUAGAAUUGUGGAGAGGUGAGUGGAAUUCCGAGUGUAGAGGUGAAAUUCGUAGAUAUUCGGAAGAACACCAGUGGCGAAGGCGACUCACUGGACACAUAUUGACGCUGAGGUGCGAAAGCGUGGGGAGCAAA